rnacentral:rRNA from 1 species
CAGUCGCCACGGUAAUACAGAGGCCUCAAGCGUUGUUCGGAUUCAUUGGGCGUAAAGGGUGCGUAGGUGGCUUGGUAAGUUGAAGGUGAAAUCUCGGGGCUUAACCCCGAAACUGCCUUCAAUACUGCUAGGCUCGAGGACUGUAGGGGAGAAUGGAAUUCACGGUGUAGCAGUGAAAUGCGUAGAUAUCGUGAGGAAGACCAGUGGCGAAGGCGAUUCUCUGGGCAGUUCCUGACACUGAGGCACGAAGGCCAGGGGAGCAAACGGGAUUAGAUACCCGCGUAGUCCCUGUCUCUUAUAC